UGCUCUGAACGAGCUGAGAGGCA
rnacentral:miRNA from 1 species